CUCACUGGAGGGCUGACUGCUGAUGGGGAAGGAGUUCUGGUUGGAAUCCUCCCUUGUGGAGUCUUUCCUGUAAGCCUGGAUCCUCAGAGAUGGUGCUUCGCUUUGGGAUACUGAGCCAUCACUGAGGCCCCACACAGCUGGUGGCACCUUGUGCAGGCCCUGUGAAUGCACCCACAAGGAUGCAUCAACCCAUGUCUCCUUCUUCACUCUGCCAAGGGUAUGGAGGAAAGAAGACUUACCAAGAAGCCAACCUCAGAAGAAGACCUCAAAAAAAAUUCCAGUUUCACGAAACAUUUCUCAGAAGGCAAGAAACAAUCCCCUCCCUCCCUCACUGUGAUUAAACAAGGCUGAGCGGAUGGGCAAGAUGCAGCUUGACAGAGAAGGGACUUAUGUGCAUUGCUGUUAAGCUGGCAGAAGCCAGCAACUCCUGCCUAUGCCUGUAGUGAACCAGGACUGGGAACAUGCCCCAGCAGCAGCAAAGUAAGGCCUGAGCAAGAAGAAACAGGUAUGUGCCAGAGCCUUAAUUCCAUCUUCAGGGGGAACUUGGCACAGAAAUCCAGUGUAAACAAAGGAAAUAGCAUUCUUUUUGGACCUAUAGGGAAAGUUUAACACCAUCCACCAUCAAUUAGCAGGCGAGUGAACUUGAAUAAAAGAAUGCACAGCUCAAAAUAUUAUGGCUGUAGCUUGCCCUGAGUGAUCUGCUAGUGCCAAGAUGACUGCUGAGAGGUUGCUCAAGUUACUCUGGUAGCAGACUUUUAGGAGCACUAACACAAGGCACAGCCACAGCACAGAUGAUGCACUCCUCCCUCUUGUAUAAUUCCAUCAACGACUACCUUGCCCAUCAUCAGAUUUGAUGAAGGUACGAAGGUCUUUCAAACAGCAUUAAAAAUUAAAAGAAUGGUGCUAAUUCUUGUGGCUGCUGAUUACUGUAGGCAUCUUGUAGUUCAGCUGUUAGGCCAAGCUGCAGGGACAUCAUAACGAAAGCAUGAGAUGUGUUGUGUACAGGCAGACAAGCCUGGCUCUGCUCCAUGGUGAUUCCCCCAGCCUGGUGGGUUUGAAGCAGUGGGACACGAGUGUCGUGGGGAUGGGACAACACACCACAGUGAGUGACUUCCAUUGAUUGCCACCGCUGCUGGCUGUCUCAGCAGAGAACUGAACACACCAUGAGGAAUGAGCUCUGAAAGAGGCCUCCUUAGUUAAAGGUUAAUGCACACAGGCAGCAGGGAAAGGGUGUAAGUAUUUGUGGACAGCUGACAGCAGGCUGCAAGGCUGUUAUUGCAGCAUAUUUCACUGUCA